GCUGGAUGCCCUCUCCGCCAAGCUGGGCUUUCUGCGAAUCAAUACAUUAUUUUAGGGAGCCCUGCUGUCCAUGAUGGUGGCCACAUGUGGCUCUGGAGUGCCUGGGAUGUGGCCAGUGUGAACUGAGACGGGCUCACAGAGAAGACGGGCACCAGAUUUGCAAGACGCAGAACAAAGAAGGCGACACCCCACCCUCGAGUCUCUGUCCACCACAUCUUGAAAUCACAUCCUCACUCUCGGGAGAAAUCAAAUUUAUUAUUGAAUCAGUGUCACCUGCCUUCCUGCAUUGUGUCCUUCUGUUCCGAUCGGAGGAGGCCCGCGGCGGAGGAGGCACAGGGCACCUCAGACGGCAGAAGGCACAGCGCCUCCUCCUGGCUGCACGCGACCUGAGUCACACCGGUGCCGAGUCACAGGCGCACGCGGGGUCACGGCGUCCCAUCCGUUCUGCUGUCCUUCCUACCCCUGUGCCCCCUGCCCUCCCUCCACUCCCCUCUGUCUGAUCCAAAGGACCUGUGCUUUUAAAUGUGACUUCAGGGGACACUUAAAUGCCAGGUGCCGCUCACUCGCGAUUCCAGGGAACGGGGCACCGCAGAGCUGAGCGUCCCUUGAGUGGACACCAGGGCUCCGGCUGUGCACAAGGACUUUCAGGUGUGUCGAAGCAUGUGGCGUCCCCACCUGGGACCCACAUGCUGUGGACACAUGGGCUCAGGGUGCGUGUGCAGCGUGGGGUGUGCGAGUGGGUGGUGUGUAGGCUGUGGGGUGCACAAUGAGUGUGCAAGGCACAUGGAUUAAGGUGGAUCUGGG
rnacentral:lncRNA from 1 species